UGAAAAACUUGGGUAGUGAGACGAUGUGAAUUGAAUGCUUUCGUAUCACUAUUCAGUCUUUCGCC
rnacentral:pre_miRNA from 1 species